rnacentral:lncRNA from 1 species
GGGGCGGCGCAGUGCCUAUAAAGGGCCGGGGCCGCGCGUGUGGGGUGGCAAUGGCGGCGCUCGGGACCGGCUUUGGCGGUGGCAGGGCCCGUGAGGAAGCGGCGCUGGAGCCGGGCCCGGGGCAGCCCGGAAGCCGCCGGCAGCCCACGGCCUGUGGAGGGGUCCCGCAGGCUCCGCUCAGGCCGUGUGUGAUGAAGGAGAGAGGGCGGGCGUCUGGCGACGGUGCCUUGUUGUGGUGCCGUGCGCCUUGGUAACCCUGCCGGGGUUGGGAUUAGCCGUGCUGUGGGUGCCGGCUCGUUUCGGCUUCCUGGCUGCUUGUUAACCAUUUUUUCCCUUCUGGAUUUCUAUAUAUUCCUCGGCCGGCGUGCCUACUCGUGUUUGUGCUGCCUUUUGCUAAUACAACGAUAACGCUCUUUAGUUUAGGCUUUAGACAAGUGUAUGAGGCUUUUCUUCCUUCGUUAUGUUUGUUGUGUUGGUGCUCAGCUGAUGGCCUCAGAGCAGGGAAAAGAGGUAAACGAAGCUAGCUGUGGUCUUUUUCCUUUUCAGGAGUCCCUUAAUAAAAUGGAUGGCAUAACCCAAGCAGUAAGGAAGAGAUCAUCUCUUUGUGGGGUUGCUCAGGAACCUGCUUCUAAUGUUGUGAAGUCAGGCAGAAACCACCUUAGAAGAAGGAAAAGCAUCAAAUCUAUUUUUCUCUCUCUAUGCUCUGUUCCAACAUGACAUUAUGUGCAGUAGUCACUGGGCUGUGGCUGCUCAGUGCUGGAAUUUUGCAUAGCUCUGAACACGUUUGGGUGGAAAGGGGAGGUCCAGCUCUCACAAUCCCAGAAUUUCCACAGCCUGCGCGAGCAUCAUGAGAGGUGACUGGUUCUGUUGCACCAUACUCUGUUGGGCUGUGUGUGUGCAGGGUUUCCAUACACAGCCUGUGAGGUGUGGAAAAAGAAGGUGGCAGUCCAAUCUAUGAGUCAAUUUUUGAAGGUGUGGAAGAGCAGUCAGUGAAGGAACAUAAAAAGGUGAAGAUUGGGGAAUGGAAUGUUUGGCGUUGGUUUUAAUUAGAAACAUCCUGUUCAUCACUCACAUGUGAGAUAAAAAGGGAAGGAUAUCCAUUACUACAGUACACUGACAGAGGAAAUAUCUGUAUCAUAGUGAGAAAUUCUAAUUGAGCUGCCAAGUAAAAUUGAAUUGAAAUACAGACCCUAUUCCAACAAUAUUUCCCUUAUUGUAGUGUAUGAGUGAGAGUCAACUGGCAUUGUAUUUAUUCCUAAUCUUUCUGCAACUGAUGACUUUUGUCUAAAAUCCAAAGUACUUCAGUACUGACUCAGUAUUAAACUUAACAAUUACCUCUGUCAGCUAAAAGAUGAAUAAAGCUCAAAAAACAAACCUUUCUUUCA